ensembl:lncRNA
CUCAUUUGUAGUCCGUUAUAACGGAUAGAUGAUCAAUUUAUGAUUCAUGCCUUGGUUAAUUUCCACCGUUGCCUUUUAAGUAGGUACAUCGAUCCAAAUUGUCCGAUUGUUACACCCCUAGUGACCAACAAGCAUUAAGUUAAUAGUAAAACAGAUUUUAUAUUUUACUUUUUCAUGUCCACUUGAAAACAUUAUAAUUCUAUACAGGGAGUUCAGUUGAGAACGUCCAAACGUUAGUGUACAAACAAAACGCUACCCUAUCUUAAACCAAUUCCAUAGGAUUGAGGGUGUGAUGCUUUCCAGACGUUGCACUGCCCGAGCUCAAACAUGAUUCAUUUGCAUCAUUAACUGGAAAAUGUAUGUGUUUGUGGUAAAUACUUCUGAUUUGUUAUAGGCCAGGGAUUUAACAUUUAGCAGUGGUGUUGAUUUAAGAUAUUAAACACGUCGGUCAUUGGUCAAGGUGAUUGAAAUGCUGUCUUGACAGUCCCACAGCGACAAUAGAAACACAAAUAUAGUAGUCUUUUUAACUCUGCAGGGAUUAGGGAGGGAGCUUUAUUAUGGUUAAAUGUCAGAUUAAAUUACAUUAUGGGGAAACUGUAAUACGGUGGUUCUGAACUCUGGUGCCCCCUGCAAAUUUUGUUCUCCAGCACACCUGACCAAACUAAUCAUCUGAUUACUAACAGUCGAUGUGGGGGUGUUUGAGCAGAGGAGCAAAGAUCGUGCAGCACCAGCGAUGGAAACCAUUAUUCACUUAUUAGAUGAAGUAAAGAUUCUUAUCGGGCUUGUCAAGGAUUCCUUACUCUUAAACACUCGUUAAACACAGGGGGUUUCAAAAAAAAAAAAAAAAAAUCUUGACACUGAUUUCCUGUAAUGUUUUGGUUUGAUUUCUGAGAAAGCUUAAGUAUAUAUUUGUGUACAAAUACAGACUGUGACUGAUGAUGAUGCAACCAAUUGCAGAUUGAUCUCACUUAGGGGUGUAUGAAAACAGGGUGAUUUUUCUGUUAUACUCCAAGAGUCCAGUAGAGUGUAGUAAGCUCC